GUAGCAUUCUAAGACUGUGAAGAAAACACAUGUUUACAAGAGCUCUAUCAGUCGGUCUCCACGAAGCACAACGCAAUCACAGAACCAGGCGGAACCGCGAGGACUGCAGUGUGGACACUACAUACUUGAGCCACCUGGCGGUUGGUUUCCCUCACUGCACAGAUAAAUGCCAGCCGUCUGCACACAGCCCCUUACUGGACGCUACAGACGCUUCAGAGCAGAGACCAAAGAGAAUUUACGUUCACCUAGCUGCAGUAACAGUGUGGGUCACAAGGCACGGCUCCACUCAGAAGCACUUUUUAAAAAGCUCACUGUGGCUAAGUACGGAAGGUGCUUGUGACGCAGCCACUGCUGAGACACAGGCAAGCUGUCAGGAGGUCUGCGGCAAGGUGCACUUCCACUCGAAGGCCACUGUUCUCAAAGAGGUCACUGUGCAGACCGGGCACAGAUCCCACCAUUAG
rnacentral:lncRNA from 1 species